rnacentral:tRNA from 1 species
GGGGUUGUAGCUCAGUGGUAGAGUGCUUGCCUCACAUGUGUGAGGCAAUGGGUUCAAUCCUCAGCGCCA